rnacentral:rRNA from 1 species
AGUGAACGCUGGCGGCAGGCCUAACACAUGCAAGUCGAGCGGCAGCGCAGCAGUAGCAAUACUGCGGGCGGCGAGCGGCGGACGGGUGAGGAAUACAUCGGAAUCUACCCAGUCGUGGGGGAUAACGUAGGGAAACUUACGCUAAUACCGCAUACGACCUGAGGGCGAAAGCAGGGGACCGCAAGGCCUUGCGCGAUUGGAUGAGCCGAUGUCGGAUUAGCUAGUUGGUGAGGUAAAGGCUCACCAAGGCGACGAUCCGUAGCUGGUCUGAGAGGAUGAUCAGCCACACUGGAACUGAGACACGGUCCAGACUCCUACGGGAGGAAGCAGUGGGGAAUAUUGGACAAUGGGCGCAAGCCUGAUCCAGCCAUGCCGCGUGUGUGAAGGAGGCCUUCGGGUUGUAAAGCACUUUUGUUGGGGAAGAAAACCUGUUGGUUAAUACCCGGCGGGAAUGACGGUACCCAAAGGAUAAGCACCGGCUAACUUCGUGCCAGCCGCCGCAGUAA